rnacentral:lncRNA from 1 species
AUUCCAGGCUGUGGAUCCGGUCGUGGGAAGCAGGUAGGAAACCAUGAUUCUCGGGGUUAAAUGAAGAAAUAUAUUUAGUGCUCACAGAAAUUUAGAAAUUUAGAAAGCCAAAUAUUGGGUUAGCCGCCAGGAAUGGAGAGGGAAAAAACCCAAAGCAAACAGCAGAGGAAAGAAAUUCCUACCAGACAAGGUCCUUAUUCAUUCUCCCAACCCCAGGUGCAGGGGCCUGCAGGGGAGAGACCCGCUGAACUUAAGACUCUGAUCAAACCCCAGACUCGGACCCUGCGCUGCCCAUGGGGCCGACCGUCAAUAUCUGGAUUGGCAAUGGCACCCUAGAGCUCACUAAGUUGACCCUAAAGCCCUUUGGGAGCCAAGGGUGGGGGUGGGGAAGGAAUAACAAAGUAGAAAGUUCCUGGAUUGAGGUGGAAAAAUCAGUUUAACCUCCCUGGGCCUCAUCUACGGAAUGUAAGGGUUGGAUUAUGAUUUCACAGGUCAUAGCAUCCUACUAUUGUUUCUGCCUAAAAUAAGCAGCAAUAAGAAUGAGUGUGAGGAAGACCACAGCAGCAGGACCCACCUGUUUCUGAGGCCUAGGGAGAUGCAGUGAUAGAUUUCAGCUUAUUCCUCAUUCUCAGGUUUCUGUACCUUGACCCUCCAUAGAGUGAACUUCUAGGUUCUGAGCUGACUCCUUGGAAACCCUAGACUCCAGGGACGCGCUUCUAGAACCUGCUCAGAUUGCUACUCAGUUAACAGCCUGGCCCAGGAGGAUUGCAACACCCAGCCUGGCUCCCAGGGCCGCACACAUACAGAGCUGAACUUGUAUCGCCGUGUAGAUGAAGACAAACACCUUUAGGAGAUGGCAGAGAAACAAAAUGGGAAACCCUCAGGUCUCCAAAUGACUACACCAAGCAGAAUUGCCCCACCAGCCUGCACCAUUCAUUUCUAGACUAUGAGCAAGAAGUACACUUCCAUCUUAUUUAAACAACCAUAUUUGGGGUUUUUGUUGUUGUUAUUGUUGUUGUUAUAGGAGCUUAGCUUUUACUCUAAGAAAUACAGCUACUCAACUCACUUCAUUAGGAUCUUAACUAUAAUAUCAAAACCUCCUAAGCACAGAAUAAAAAAUACAGUAGAGCAAUAUCAUUUAUGAUCAUAGAUGCAGAGCUUCCAAAUGAAAUACUAGCAUAUUCAAGGAAAGAUAUAUAUACCAUGACCUAGUUGUGUUUAAUUUCUGGAAUUCAAAAAUGGAAUGUUUGACAUAAGAAAAUCUAUUAGGCCGGGCGCGGUGGCUCACGCCUGUAAUCCCAGCACUUUGGGAGGCCGAGGCAGGCAGAUCACGAGGUCAGGAGAUCGAGAUCAUCCUGGCUAAUACGGUGAAACCCCGUUUCUACUAAAAAAUACAAAAAAAAAAUAUUAGCUGGGAGUGGUGGCGGGCGCCUGUAGUCCCAGCUACUUGGGAGGCUGAGGCAGGAGAAUGGCGUGAACCCGGGAGGCAGAGCUUACAGUGAGCUGAGAUCGUGCCACUGCACUCCAGCCUGGGUGACAGAGCGAGACUCUGUCUCAAAAAAAAAAAAAAAAAGAAAAAAGAAAACAGUUUGGCAGUUCCUCAAAAAGUUAAACAUAGGAUGUUUGAAAAUUUAAACGUAAUAUGACCUAGCAAUUCAACCCCAGGUAUACAACCAAGAGAAUUGAAAACAGGUGUUCAAACAAAAACUUGUACAGGAUUGCUCAUAGCAGCAUUAUUUAUAAUAGCCAAAAGGAAGAAACUACUCAAAUGUCCAUCAGCUGAUGAAUGGAUAAACAAAAUAUGGUGUAUUUCUACAAUGGACUAUUAUUCAAUCAUAAAAAAUGAAAUGCUGAUAAAUGCCAAAAUUGACGAACUUUUAAAACAUGCUAAGUGGCUGGGUGGGGUGGCUCUAGUCCGUAAUCCCGGCAUGUUAAGAGGCCGAGGUGGGCGGGUCACUUGAGCCUGGGAGGUCGAGGCUGCAGAGAGCUGAGAUCGCGCUACUGCACUCUAGCCUGGGUGACAGAGCAGACCCUGUCUCAGAAAGAAAAGAAAAAACAGAAAAGAGAAAGAAGACAGGAGAGGAGAGAAGGGGAGGGGAGGGGAGGGGAAUGGAGAGGGGGAGGGGAGGGGAGGGGAAGGGGGAGGGAAGGGGAGGGGAGGGGAACAUCCUGGCCGGGUGCAGUGGCUCACGCCUGUAAUCCUAGCACUUUGGGAGGCCAAGGUGGGCGGAUUGCCUGAGCUCAGGAGUUCGAGACCAGCCUGGGCAACACGGUGAAACCCCGUCUCUACUAAAAUACAAAAAAAUUAGUUGGGCGUGGCGAUGUAUACCUGUAGUCCCAGCUACUCAGGAUGCUGAGGCAGAAGAAUUGCUUGAACCCAGGAGGUUGAGGUUGCAGUGACGCGAGAUUGCACCACUGCACUCCAGCCUGGGUGACAGAGUGAGACUCUCUCCCAAAAAAAAAAAAAGAAAAGAAAAGAAAAGAACAUGCUAAGUGAAAGAAGCCAGAGAAAAAAAGGCAACACAUUGUAUUAUUCCAUUUAAUGAAAUAUCCAGGAUAAACAAAUCCAUAGAAAUGAAGAGCAGCUGAGGGGUUGCUGGGGCUAGGGACGGGGGGGAUAUCAGGAAUGACUGCUUCAUGGGUACAGAGUUUUCAGGUGAUGAAAUCUUCUAGAAUUAGAUAAUAGUGAUGGUUGCACAACAUUAUGAAAAUACCAAAAACCACUGAACUGUACACUUUAAAAUUGUUAAAAUGGUGAAUUUUAUAUUAUGUGACAAUUUUGUAAAAGAAUUCUAUAUCCAAUGAAAAUAUUCUUCAAGAAUGAGAGGGAAAUAAAGGCGUUCUCAAGUGAAAAAUCAAGAGAAUUUGUCAUUAGUAGACUUGUUGUAAAAUAAAUACUAAAGAAAGUUCUUCAAACGGAAGAAAGAGGAUACCUGAAAGAAAUUUAGAACAUCAAGAAUGAAGACAGAGAAACAAAAAUGGUAAAAAUCUGGUUAAAUAUAAUAGACUAUUUUUAUCUUAAAUUCUUUAUAAUAUGUAUAUGUUGGGGCUCAGAAAACAACACCUCAAAAGUAUGGCGCUUUGGUAUGCUGAACACUUUGAACUAAAAUAGAAAGGACUUAGAAGCUACCUCAGAAUAAGGCCUUUCUGGCCUCAUCUGUUUCUAUCGCCUAGAGACUUCUAGAGACUUCUGGAGUCUCUAUCCCCCUAGAGACUUCCCCUAGAAUUUCCUUAUCUGACUAAGGAAACUUCUUUCCAAAAGAAAUGCAAUUGUCUUAAGAUCCCCUUCCUAGGAAUCUCAUCAAAUAAUCAGAAAAGAUUAACCACCAGAGAAGAAUGGAGACUAAAGUCAGAUGACUCUUCAUCUAGUCCUCUGAGGCAGUGCCAAGAGAUAACCUGGGAGGCUUUAUCUACCAGGUUAAGUUUCACCCCUCACCUUCCGGUAACUUGCUGGCGUCGUUUAGUUUCCUAGGAGAAUCAUUUACAAGAUAAUGUCUGAGCCUCCUGGGCCCAUUCAUUUCCCCUAAAAAUCAUUAACAACCCCUGCAUUUUCCCCAUCUCCCUCUUCCCUAUGAAGCAGAUAUAUAAGCCUCAAUCAUCUGGCCCUUUGGGUCUCAUAUUUAAUAUUGUACCCAUGUUUUUGUAUGUUAAUAAAUUUAUAUGCCUUUUUCUCCUAUUAAUCUGUGUAUUGUCAGUCAUUUUAGCA